GAACAAGAUCUAGCAGCCACUUCCCUUAGCCGCAGACUCAAUGCAGAGAACUGUUUGUAGAAAAAGCACUGAAGAUACAAACUGUUAUCCUGCCAGUGACUGAGAUUGAGGUCUAUGUUGGGUCCCCUGUAAUCCUCCCUUGUACCUUCUACACGGACAACCCGUUUCAGAAGCUGAGACAUCUGAUUGUUGAGUGGGUGUUUACUCCUGAGGGGAAUGACACCUAUAGACCUAUUCUAAAAUUAUUUGACAACAUAUCUGAGCAGCUGGAUACCUCUAAUGCAAGAGCUGGGGCAUUUGUAUCACUUCUCCCUGGUGGAAACUGCUCACUGGCUAUCAACCCUACCAGCACCAAAGAUUCGGGCACGUAUAAAGUGUACCUGAAUGUUGAUGGCGCACCGUAUGUCAACUCACCAGCAAUCAGUCUCAAAGUCUUUAACGAAGAUCCAGAUGUAGUUUCACUGAUCCGUAUUUACCAGCGUUUAAAAGCCAGUGGAAUGAUGACCAUCAUACUGAUCGCUGGAGGAGUUGUACUUUGUUUGUUGAUAAGCGGAUGUUUGGCCGGAUUACAUUUUCAGGGUCGAUAUUAUAAAUUAAUUGGACCAUCCCAACCAUCUGAAGAUGAAAGGCAAAAGGACUCUAUGGUCCGAAUGGAGGAAGGGUUCUCAAGCAGCAGUGAAACAGAAUCUGACAGCCGCUGAUGCUACAGUAGAGAUUUCAUUUCCAUCAGAAAACUCUGCUCACCCUUGUUCUCUAUAUUAAUAAAAUAUGUUUGUCAUAA